AACAGUCUCGUUAAUUAAAACUAUUAACGUGUGCCAGCGAGAUUAUGAGAUUGGCUCCUGUACGCCGCAUCCAGCUGCCAAGACACCGGUUAAGUUCUUCGCGCCUCGGGUUUGCUUCGCCCUGAGCAAGUCUUCGGGAAGCUCGGGGUCGCCGCCAUGCUUCACCCGGGGCUCCUUCCCGGCCCCGGAGGGGAGCGGGCUCUGCAGAGGGCAGCUCGGCCCGAAAGGCGGCCUGUCACGGCUGUGCAGCGGCCUCGCGGAGGACGAGCUGAGGGCCGAGCGAGAGGGAAUGGGACUGAAGCGAGGAGACCAGAAGGUGGUCCUCGGGAGACGCUCGCAAUCGCCUGUUUUUCUACAUCGCAAACAUAAUAAACGUAUAACACGUGUUUUGAAAAAUGCAGAAAAAAACAAAACUAAAGUCACCGUGCGGAGAUAAACAUUUUUAACAUUUUGACCUAUGUCCUGUCAGACUUUUUUUUUUUUUAAAUUCACUUACAUAGAGAUUUGCUUGGGGUUUUGUUUAACAUAACUGGCAUCUUGUGCAUAUUCCUUUUGAGACUUGUUCCUCCCUCCACUUACUGUAAUAAUGAAGAUCGUCCCAUGUUACGACAUGUUUUCCUAAUUACGAUUUUUAAUGGGCACAUCCUCCUUUCAUCCGUGCGCUCAGUAUGAAUUAGGUUUGGGUUCUUAAAUAUUUAAUACUUUAAAUAUUGAUAAAUAUUUUCAGACGGAUAAGUACAUAGACUAAUACAACUGUGUAGGCAGAAUAACGGCCCAGAAAGACUUCGGUGCCCCAAUUCCCAGGACCUGUAGUUACAUGGCGAGGGGAGCUAAGGUUACUAAUCGGCUGGCUUUAAACCAGGAGAAUUAGGCUGGGUUCUCGGGGUAGGCCCAAUUAAUCACAAGGGUCCUUAAAAGUGGAAGAGGAAGACAGAAAAAGAAAAUAAAAGGAAAAGAUGUGGUGAUGAAGAAGGAUCUGAGAGAUGCUGUGUUGCUGGCUUUGAAGUUGGAAGAAGGGGGCCCUGAGCCAAGGAAUGUGAGCGGCCCCCAGAAGCGGGAAAAGGCAAGGAAAUGUACUCUCCCCUCCAGCCUCCAGAAGGGACACGUUCCGGAGCCGGGACUUCAGCUUUGACGGUGUCGCAUGCUUUACAAAUGGAAGACAAGACCCUCCACCAGUAAAAGGAUUAGGUCUCUCUUUAUUGCAAUACUCACUUUGUUACAGUGGUCUGGAACCAAGCACGCAAUAUCUCUGAGAUCAAAAAGCAGAAAGUGGAAAUGAAAAAUAAGAGAAAGAAUGGACUACUAGACAAACCCAAGCCAGAUGACCUUGAAUAAAGAAGAGUUGACCUACUGGAUCAUUUUGCCCACCUGAGCAUAACGUAUAACAGAGUAAGAGCUCUAUAAGACAUUACUCUCUGACUUGUGAAUAGAGAGGUUUCUAUUAAAUAAAGAAUUUCAGGUUAGUAAGGAACAAUCCAACUCUAAUUGUUCCUUAUGUCAUGUCAAAAUCUGCUUGUUGUUAACUUAAAUUCACCUAUUGAGGUUCUUGCCUAGAAAGGAAACAGAAAAUACAUUCACUUAUUUCCCAAAUGACAGCCCUAGAGCUAACUGAGGAUGGCUUUACGUUUUCAGGACAAAUAUCACCAGCUCCUACAGUCUUUGCAGUUUCUCAUCACCCUUUUCGUGUUUCUCUGGACGUGCGCCACAUCCCUCUUAAAAUAGGCCCAAUGACUUAACACAUUGCGGCUCAGAAUAAUGUGGAACCAUUGCUUGUCUUAUUCUCAUCAUAUGUGUCAGUACAGCCCAAUAGCACAUAAGCUUUUUGGGCAGUGCAAUGGCACCACACGAUUGGUUUAUGUAAACUUAUAGCUGACUAGAAUCCUUAGUUUUUAAACUGUUUUUGAACCUCAUAUCCCUUAUGCUAUAAUUGCAUUUUAAGGAGUCUAAGUCCAGUGAAUAUUUUAAAAACCAUUGAAUUAUACCCUUCAAACCAGUGGGUUGAAUGAUAUGUGAAUUAUAUACCAAUAAAUCUGUUAAAAAAUAUAUAAGUGCAGGAAAGAAAGGCAAAUGUAUCUUAUUAAAUACUAAAUUUUGUAUUUUAUUAAAUAACUACUAAAAUUUGCCAGACA